GCAACCCUCUUCUAUUAUAGGUAAAGAGACGGAUAAAGCAGCAGAGUAAGCUGCUUGGGGCUGAAGUGAUCAGAAUUUUUGUAUUACUACCAAGUAUAUAAAUUAUGCCCUUGUAAAUUGUUGUUUUGAUAUAUAUAUGUAACUGUAUGUAUGUACAUAAGACAUGAGCAGUUGUAAAACAAAAUUUUGAAACUUUUUUGUUGAUGAAUGUAAAUUCUUGUAAUAUGAAACUGUU
rnacentral:misc_RNA from 1 species